UACGUAGGGGGCUAGCGUUGUCCGGAAUUAUUGGGCGUAAAGAGCUCGUAGGUGGUUUGUUACGUCUGCUGUGAAAACCUAGGGCUUAACCCUGGGCUUGCAGUGGAUACGGGCAGACGUAGAGGUAGGUAGGGGAGGAAUGGAAUUCCUGGUGUAGCGGUGAAAUGCGCAGAUAUCAGGAGGAACACCGGUGGCGAAGGCGGUUCUCUGGGCCUUACCUGACACUGAGGAGCGAAAGCGUGGGGAGCGAACAGG
rnacentral:rRNA from 1 species